rnacentral:lncRNA from 1 species
CUUUUCUUUUUCAACUCCAUUGCAGAAGAAUGAUGUGACGGUGCUGAUCCAAAGCUAGGCAAAGUCAAGAACCCGUACUGCACUUCCAAUAAAUCUAAAUGAGCUGCUGGACACAAGCAAAGAGUUGAAACUUGCUGCACCUUAAAAAAAUAAUUAAAUCACUGAAUAAAUAAAAAAAAAACGGAAAUAGAAAGCAACGAGAAUGCAAUUAAGAAAUUGUUGGACGGCAGCAUGAUGCAACGUUUCCCAUUCAACCAAAAUCUAAUAGAUGAAGCAUGGUUCCAGCCAAGAAAAAAAAACGUUCAGCCAAAAUUAGUUCUUCCGAGAAUAAAAUUUUAGAGUGACGACUGCUCCCCUUUAAUCCCUAGGCCAUGUGUCUCCAAAAAUUAGGAUGGGGUCCACCCUAAAACCCUAGGGUUUGGUGCCAAGUGUCCCUCAAAGUUUGGGCCUAUCAUGAAAUUUGCCAACAUUGGCCCACAAUGUAAAAGUUUGUCUAAAAAUCCUAAACUACUAAAUUACAAGAUAACUAAAAUUUAAAAUGUCUAAAAUGAGAGUCUGGAAUUUAAUUGAUAGCACUCCAAAUGUCCUAAAUUGUGUUUCCAAAAUUUUCCCUGAAAAUAAUAAUGCAAAUAA